UCCCUGGUGGCUCAGAGGGUAAAGCAUCUGCCUGCAAUGCGGGAGACCCUGGUUCGAUCCCUGGAUUGGGAA
rnacentral:tRNA from 1 species